UACGUAGGUGGCAAGCGUUAUCCGGAUUUAUUGGGUGUAAAGGUCGUGUAGGCGGGAGCGCAAGUCAGAUGUGAAAACUCAGGGCUCAACCCUGAGCCUGCAUUUGAAACUGUGUUUCUUGAGUGCUGGAGAGGCAAUCGGAAUUCCGUGUGUAGCGGUGAAAUGCGUAGAUAUACGGAGGAACACCAGUGGCGAAGGCGGAUUGCUGGACAGUAACUGACGCUGAGGCGCGAAAGCGUGGGGAGCAAACAGG
rnacentral:rRNA from 1 species